rnacentral:rRNA from 1 species
UACGAAGGGUGCAAACGUUGCUCGGAAUUAUUGGGCGUAAAGCGCACGUAGGCGGCUUUGCAAGUCGGAUGUGAAAUCCCUCGGCUCAACCAAGGAAGUGCAUCCGAAACUGCAGAGCUUGAGUACUUAAGAGGAUCGCGGAAUUCCCGGUGUAGAGGUGAGAUUCGUAGAUAUCGGGAGGAACACCAGUGGCGAAGGCGGCGAUCUGGGAAGAUACUGACGCUGAGGUGCGAAAGCGUGGGGAGCAAACAGG